rnacentral:rRNA from 1 species
UGGCGGCGUGCCUAACACAUGCAAGUCGAACGCGAAAAGCAGUAAUGCUGAGUAGAGUGGCGCACGGGUGAGUAACACGUAAAUGACAUGUCCUCGAGACGGGAAUAACCAGCCGAAAGGCUGGCUAAUACCCGGUAAGCCCACGUCUUUGGAGAUGAGGGAAAAGGGUCGGGAAUUUUCGAAUCCGAUCGCUUGAGGAGUGGUUUGCGGCCCAUCAGGUAGUUGGCGAGGUAAAAGCUCACCAAGCCUAAGACGGGUAGCUGGUCUGAGAGGAUGAUCAGCCACACUGGAACUGAGACACGGUCCAGACUCCUACGGGAGGCAGCAGUGGGGAAUCUUGCGCAAUGGGAGCAAUCCUGACGCAGCAACGCCGCGUGGGUGAUGAAGGUCUUCGGAUCGUAAAGCCCUGUCGGAGGGGAAGAUGCUUGGAACGUCUAAUAGAUGAGCCAGGUGACGGU